CAACCUUCGCCAGCUGCCGCCUUGGGCCUAUAAAUACCUGGGCCCUGCAACCGCCCUCCUCAUCGUACCAAUUGAUUCACCAUGAGCCAACUCCACCAAGGAUCAUACCGGUGGACACCGUAGUGUCGAGCGAGAGAGUCGUGAGCGCGACUGCCACAGUCGACUUCGUGUUAUACCGUCCCCAUGCUCUCGGGGUGUGGGGGGAGGUGAUCGGCUGAGCCCACCGCGCAUCCUCAACGGUUAGCCGAGCGAAGAGGGUGACCGUGGUGCGGAGGAUUGCUCGCUGGAGGCGUUCAAUGUUAGUACUGAUGAGAUGAAGGAAAUGUUACAAAGGAAUUGCCCAGCGUCGCGAGCCUAGAGGAAGGAAGCACCGUGCUAAUGUCCGACUCGUGGGCCCGGAGUGGGCGUGACUUGGUCACUGUCUGGCGUGUGUGCGUCUGUAUCAUGGGGCAGUGUCCCCGCCUAGUGGGUCUGCUUGUAAGCGUUUAAGUAGUGGUCGUCUCCCUUGGGCAAGGGAAACAUUUUACUGAAUAUUGAAUAGAACUGCUUCCUGUUGCCUUCAUUCUCCAUUUCUCCUCUCUCUGCUACCUUCGUCUUCCUCUCAUUCUUCCCUAGAUCUCUCCUCUUCUCCAUUCCCUAGCAGUAGCUAACAAUUGGUAUCAGAGGCGUUCGUUCCUUGGCCAUCGCAUCCAUGGCGUCUCCUUCAUCGGUUGAUGCUCAGCUCACUCAGGCGCUAGAGCACCAGACCCGUACUAUCCUCGCUGAGCUCGACAAAUGGUUCAUGGCUAUCGACUCCAAGUGGGAAGCGUGAGUCGGGGCGCUGGAGCCGGUUGCUCUGCAAGUGCACGCGUACCAGAGAAGCGCACAACGCGAGCCCGGCCGGGAUCUUGUCGGUGAAGCCGUUGUUGAGCAUGCUCAGCUUGGCGAGCUCCUUGCCGUGGCAGAUCCCAGUCGGGAUGGGCCCGGUGAAGGAGUUCGACGACACGUCCACCACCUCGGGGUAGAUCUGGCGACACACCAAGCAGCGGUGGGCGCGGACGUGGAGGAUCGGCUCCGCUGCUUCGACGCCGCCACCGACACCUGCAUCGCAGCACCCGAAUCGACCAACCAGGUGUGCGAGAUAUGGCAUCCCCGCGUCGACUCCGAGGUCGAGGGUCUCCAGUCCCGCGUGGCGGAUUCGGAGCGCGCUUGCCUCGUGGCCCCCAUGAGCAUCAAUGCGGUUUCGUCAUGCCCAACAGCGUCGGCAGGGGAGAAGAUGUUGGACGCGUCAUUCGUGCGUCAGGAGGUGCACGUCUGCUUCAGUGAUAAGGUGCCGGUGUUGUCGCUCGAGGGCAUCGAUGGCGUGUGCCGGGCCGAGAUCCGCGCGCACAAGGUCUGUGACAUUCGUCUCCUCCACUUCUCCUCGCUGUUGCCAGACCACUCCAUCCUUGCCGAGCUCAAAGACCGCGACGUCAGUGAACAGCUCGCCGGAGCCCGUGGCCGCCUCGACAACCCCACAACCACGCUCCUGGGGCCCAACAUCGACCCCGUUGCUACCCCACCUCACCUUCGCGGAUUGUGUGCCGAGCUCAGCUUCUCCUCCCCGACGUCCUCUCUCCUGCAGUUGGUGUGCGUAGAGGAGGAGGAGGUUCUCACCACCUCGCCCAAUAGGUGUUUGACAAAUUGCUUCAACCUCAUACGAAGCUGUUUCAGCCAGGAUGCAAUGCCACAUCGACAACCUUGGCCACCACCUCAUAUGCACGUUGAGUUUGGGUGUGCAUCUGAUAGGAUGAAGCAAUAUAAUCCUGUCGGCGUUUCGAGACCGGGGGGUCCCCGAGCCGACGAGUGAGUGUGCCGCGUGCCCCAGCCCAGAUGGGUCGAGCGCGUGGGCGAGCGCGAAGGGGGGAGAAGCGAGGUGGCCGGAGACGGGCGUGAGAGAGGUGGAGAUCCCGCGGCCUUCGUGUUCGUCCCGCGCCCAGGUCGGGUGCGCUUGCAGUAGGGGGGUUACAAGCGUCCACGCGGGUGAGGGAAGCGAGCGGCCCUAAGAGAGCGCCUGUCCCGUCCUCGUCCCGCGCGGCCAACCUUCUCUAAGAAGGCCCUGGUCCUUCCUUUUAUAGGCGUAAGGAGAGGAUCCAGGUGUACAAUGGGGGUGUAGCAGAGUGCUACGUGUCUAGCGGAGGGAGAGCUAGCGCCCUAAGUACAUGCCAAUGUGGCAGCCGGAGAGAUCUUGGCACCCUGCUGGCGUGAUGUCGUGGCUGUCGGAGGAGCAACGGAGCCUGGAGGAGGGACAGCUGUCGGAGCGGUCGAGUCCUUGCUGACGUCCACCUGCUUCCGUAAGAGAGCUGAGAGCCGCCGUCGUCACAGAGCUUGUGGGGCGCCAUCAUUCCCCAUCUUGCGGAGCUAGCCAGAUGGGACACCGGUCUUGUUCUCCAUGACCAGAGUCGGCUCGGGGUAGGAUGAUGAUGGCGCUUCCUGUUGACGUGGCGGGCCUGUGCCCUAGGUCGGGCGACGUGGGGGCUCCUCCGAAGCCGGGGUCGAGUCUGUCUUCCGUGGCCGAGGCCGAGCCCGAGCCCCCGGGUCGGGCGAGGCGGAGAUCGUUCGGCAGAGGCCCGGGCGGAGUCCGAGCCCUGGGGUCGGGCGAAGCGGAGUUCGUCGUCUUCCGGGUCUUAGCCCGAGUCCGAGCCCUGGGGUCGGGCGGAGUGGAGUUCGCCGUCUUCCGGGUCUUAGCCCGAGUCCGAGCCCUGGGGUCGGGCGGAGCGGAGUUUGUCGUCUUCCGGGUCUAAGCCCGAGUCCGAGCCCUGGGGUCGGGCGGAGCGGAGUUCGCCGUCUUCCGGGUCUUAGCCCGAGUCCGAGCCCUGGGGUCGGGCGGAGCAGAGUUCGCCGUCUUCCGGGUCUUAGCCCGAGUCCGAGCCCUGGGGUCGGGCGGAGCGGAGUUCGCCGUCUUCUGGGUCUUAGCCCGAGUCCGAGCCCUGGGGUCGGGCGAAGCGGAGUUCGCCGUCUUCCGGGGCUGAGCCCGAGUCGGAGCCCUGGGUCGGGCGGAGCGGAGCUUCCUAUGGCGCCUUUGGCAAGGCCUGACUGCCUGUCAGACUCACUCUGUUGAGGGGCACUGCAGUCGGAGUGGCGCAGGCGGCGCUGUCCUUCUGUCAGACCGGUCAGUGGUGCGGCGGAGUGACGGCGGUCACUUCGGCUCUGCCGGGGGGCGCGUCAGGAUAAAGGUGUCAGGCCACCUUUGCGUUAAAUGCUCCUGCAACUCGGUCAGUCGGUGCGGCGAUUUGGUCAGGGUUGCUUCACAGCGAAGCCAAGGCCUCGGGCGAGCCGGAGAUGCGUCCGCCGUUAAAAGGGGGGCCUCGGGCGAGACGGAAGUCCCUCGAGGUCGGCUGCCCUUGGCCGAGGCUAGGCUCGGGCGAAGCGUGAUCGAGUCACUUGUAUGGACUGAUCCCUGACUUAAUCGCACCCAUCAGGCCUCUGCAGCUUUAUGCUGAUGGGGGUUACCAGCUGAGAAUUAGGCGUCUUGAGGGUACCCCUAAUUAUGGUCCCCGACAGUAGCCCCCGAGCCUCGAAGGGAGUGUUAGCACUCGCUUGGAGGCUUUCGUCGCACUUUUUUGCAAGGGGACCAGCCUUUCUCGGUUGCAUUUUGUUCCGGUGGGUGCGCGCGAGCGCACCCGCCGGGUGUAGCCCCCGAGGCCUCGGAGGAGUGGUUUCACUCCUUCGAGGUCUUAAUGCCUUGCGUAAUGCUUCGGCUGGUCUGGUUGUUCCCUCAUGCGAACUGGCCGUAGCCCGGGUGCACUGUCGGGGCCCAAGCUCUCGGGCUGGUAUGUUGACGCUGUCAACGGUCUGGCCGGAGCCGGGUUUGCGAGAGCAGCCCCCGAGCCUCUGCACAGGGCGAGAGGACGAUCAGGGACAGACUCGGCUUUUUUACAUAUGCCCCUGCAUCGCCUUUCCGCAAGGAGGAGGGGGGGAGAGCGCCAUGUUACCCUCGAUGGUCACCGAACAUGGUGUCUCCGGUGAGCUGCAAGCGGGUGAUCCGAGUGGACGUCCGUGCCCCGUUCGUUGGGGGUCAGCUAGGGGCCCAGAGGCACGCCCAAAAGUACCUGCGGGUGACCUGCCGGACCCGGUCCCCUGGCGACGGGGUCCGAGGGCUCGAUGCCUCCCUCCGAUGGGAUUCCGUUACAAGAUCAUUCCCGCUGGUCUCGGAAAUGUCCUAGGGUACCUCGGGAGCGCAGCCCGAGCCUCGGUUAUGUAUCGAACGUACCCCUGGUCAUCCCUCGCUCGGUGUCUGAGGCGACUGUGAACCCUUCGGGGGCCAGCCUUCGAACCCCUGAUCAGUAAUGGGCGCGGAGCCCGAGUAGCCUGAGGCGGCCAUGGAGCCCUUCGGGGGGCCGGCCUUCGAACCCCUGACCAGUAGUGGGUGUCGGGCCCACGCGAUCUGAGGCGACUGUUGAACCCUUCGGAGGGCCAGCCUUCGAACCUCUGAUCAGUAGGGGGGGGGGGCUCGGAGCCCGGUUCCUUCGCAGAGAAGGAUCCUUUUCGGGGUAUCCCCCUUUCCCGGUCCCUGUUGCAAGAGAUAGAGAAAGAGGAAAAAAGGAAAAGGAUACGAAAUCGAACGACGUGGCGUACCUUUUUUGGCGCGGUAAUUACGGCGAAGGCGAAGCGUCGCCCGCCGCUCCUGCCAGAGGCGCCGCCUGUCCCGCCGCAGAGUUAAUGCGACGGGGCGAGUGGUUGGCGGGGUGGCCGUUGCGCGUGCGCGAGCCGUUCGAGGAACGGAUCACGGGCGCACCGUCUUCACGCCGUGGGAGGAGGCUCUCUUGCUGUCCCUGGAUGGGACGUGAGCCUGGCUGACGAUGUGACCGCUGCUCCCGCCCGCCUGCCACCGUCAUUACUGCCGGCACACUUUCGGCCGCAUUGACCGUCGCGCCAGGCUGGCGCUGCUGGGUCGUGCGCUGGGUCGCCUCGAGUCGUGGCAUAGGUUCCGCAACCGAAGAGGUGCGACGGUGGUGCAAGUGGCGGUGCGGUUGCUUGCAUGCAGCAACUGGCGCGCUGGUUGCGUGACGCGUGGGCCUGGGCCUCCAAGCUGGCGUGUCAGAAGUCGGAGAAGCGCGUCCACCUGGCGCGGUUGCAUGCCGCCUGCAUGGCUGCCCGCCCCUUCCGCCCGUUGGUCUGGGCAAAAGUGGGGGGUCGCUUGUAACCGCUGGGCGGUCGCGUGCACCGCGCGCGGCGGUUUGGUUUCUUCUGCUCUGAGCCAGUUUGCAUGACAUGCGGGACCCAGCCCCCGAGCCGCAGGGGAGGGCCUUGGAGCGUGUUGGAGAAGACUCAGCCCGUGGCGUUUGGGGGCGCACGUAGGGAGAGUUGCCUUUAAAAGGAGGGCGACCCCUUUCGGAAGGCAACCAUGUCUUCUUCCUCCCUUAUGCGUCGUGUCUUUCCAUCUUCCAAGCCCCCGGAUGGGGGGUAUCCGCCGUCUUUCCGCCUCCUCGCUGGAGGGACGCAACUCCGUGGGAGUUGGUACCUUUCAGCCAUCGUUCGGCUUCAAGGAUUUUCAUCAUGCAGCCCGGUUGCUUCCCCCCGCUGGUGGUCACCCAAGACGGUGACCGCUAGUUCCUGGGUGGGGAGAAGCAAACCGGGCUGCGAUCUUGGUCCCACCCUCAGCUUCAAGGAUGUUCAUCAUCCUCGCUGGGGUGGGGGCCGGGAUGAGCCGGCGCUUUACCUCCCACGCAGGUUCGCGGGUCACCCCUUCCCGCGGUGUUCGAGGGAGAGGGCGCUCACUGGCCCUGCAGGCGGCGCAGACUUAGCCAACGUGGGGCUGAUCGACGGCGGGCGUCGUCACCUCCAGCGUGUCGGAGUCGUCGGCUUGGCUCCCGGCGGCCCCCCCUGCCGGAGGGCGGCUGCCGCGCCGUGUGCACGGGAGGACCACCCACGAUGCCGCGCGCUGCUAGGGCGGCGUUCGUGUUCUGGGGUGGCCCUGCUUUUGCACCAGGAUGGCGCCCUCGCGCAGAGGCCGGUGCCCCACUCGUCUGGGAGGAUUCGAGUGGGGAUCUGCCGGGGGGCUGGUGGCCCCCGCCAUCAGCGCCGAGGCGGAGGCGGCUCGAGAAGUCCCCGUCGCCGACGGGAUCACCGCCACCAUCCACGCCCCGGGCCUCCGGCUCUUCGUACUUGUCCUCGCCCCUCGAGCGUCGGCGUGGGCGAGGGCAAGAUUGCAGCAGCGCCCACCCUGAGGCCUACACUGCUGCGGCUCGGCCAUCCGGAGCGGGAGUCGUCGUCGUCGUAUUCAGAGCGGGCGGCGGCGAGCCGCUCGUCAGUCUUCUGUUGCUCCGCAGGCCUUCCCCAUGGAGUGGGGUUGUUCGUACCUGCGGUGGGGGAACCGGAGUUCCGUUUGUAACGGCACUUCGAAUGCCAGUGUUUUUGUUCAUUGUGGCUGUCGAGGCCUGAACAUGUAUGUAAUUUCGGCACGGAGCCGUGUUUUUUCCUUAUUUUCGAGCGCUAAGUCUCGCCUGUUGAUUAUCUGAAACGCUUCACCAAGCAUGAGUCGCCCCGUGUCAAGGUGACGAGUGAGGUAUCCGUAUCCCGGAGGCGUAGGAGUCCCUUGGCUCGAUCGGCCUUGUUGUCUGAGGCUCCUCUAGCUCAGUUAAAGGGACCCCUUGGCCGCUCUUCGAUGAGCCGAGGCCAGGGGUAGCGAUAUCAGUACGAACAGAGGCGGAGUUGGCUCGAAAAUGGGAACCUGGUUGGCCGGAGCCUAGCCGGGUUGCCCGUCAGCGGGGCUGACGCCGGAGUUGAUCAGCCGAGGCCUCGGGUCGGGCUGGCGCCCUUGGAAGAUGGUUGGCUGAGGCCCCAGGGGUAACCGGCUGAGCCGCCUGCUCGGGCCGGAUUCCCGGAGAAGUCCCCGGACCGCGUCGCCGUCCGAGGCUGGGUCGGAUCUCGCUGAAGGCGUCGUCGAUGCCGAGGGUGCUACAGCCUACUUCCAGCGUGAAGAUCCGAGCCUGCAGGAUCAGAUGGUCUUGUAGCGUGUGCCUUCUGCGGCCGCCGAGGCCAGAAAACACACCCUCGCUGCGUUGUAAAGCCGCGUCUCUUUUCCUCUUAUUCCGAGCAUCUGGACUUUCCGUCGGUAACAGGGAUGUUUGUGUGGGCGAGAGUUGCUUCUCGCGGAAGGUGAUGAGUGAGGUAUCCGUAUCCCAGAGGCGUGGGAGUCCCUCGGCUCGGUCGGCCUUGCCGCUUACGCGUACUUUCGCCCGUCCACGAGGCCCUGUCACCGAUUCAGUCGAGAAGGCUUGAAGGACCGCCUCGGCAGAAGAGCUUCCGAUCGUGAAGACUUGUUCGGUCCGCGGAAUCACUUUAUCCGAACGCGAGUUACUUAUCGCAGAAGGUGAUGAGUGAGGUAUCCGUAUCCCGGAGGCGUAGGAGUCCCUCGGCUCGGUCAGCCUUGGCUGCUUACGUGUACUCCAUCGUUUCCAGGAUCCGCUUUUCGAAGUAGUCAAAAAGCACGAAAGAAAUUCUGCUAAAAAGAGAUCCUUUUUCGAGGAAAAUUUCGACGCGGAGGGGGUCUCCCCCCUUUUAGCCCCCGAGGGAGGGUCGGGCUUUGCCGAGGCGAGGCCGACCCUUCCUUGAUGACUAAACUUUGCGUGGGUGCGAGGUAUAUGAAUAACUUGAAAACAUCUUAAGGGUAGAAGCGACGUAGCUGUUUGAUGUUCCAAGCGUUGCCGUAGAUCUCGCCUUGAUUGUUGGCUAGCUUGUAUGUUCCGGGCUUCAGGACUUUGGCGAUGACGAAUGGCCCCUCCCAGGGGGCGUGAGCUUGUGCCUCCCUCGGGCGUCUUGCCGCAGCCGAAGCACCAGAUCGCCCACCUGGAGGUCUCGGGACCGGACCCCUCGGGAGUGGUAGCGUCGCAGGGACUACUGGUACCGCGCCGAGUGCAGUAAGGCCUUGUCCCGAGCCUCUUCCAGCUGGUCCAGCGAUUCUUCUCGGCUAGCUUGGUUGCUUUGAUCAUUGUAGGCCCUCGUCCUCAGGGAGCCGUAUUCCAGGUCAGUGGGUAAGAUGGCCUCGGCCCCGUAGACCAGGAAGAACGGCGUGAAACCCGUGGCUCGGCUCGGCGUCGUCCUCAGGCUCCAGACCAUCGAGGGGAGUUCCUUCAUCCAUCGCUUGCCGAACUUGUUGAGGCCGUUGUAAAUCCGAGGCUUGAGCCCUUGUAGAAUCAUGCCGUUGGCACGCUCUACUUGCCCAUUCGACAUGGGAUGAGCCACGGUAGCCCAGUCCACCCGGAUGUGGUGAUCCUCGCAAAAAUCCAAGAAUUUUAUGCCGGUGAACUGGGUACCGUUGUCGGUGAUGAUGGAGUUUGGGACCCCGAAGCGAUGGAUGAUGUUGGUGAAGAACGCCACCGCCUGCUCGGACCUGAUGCUGUUCAGGGGUCGGACCUCGAUCCACUUGGAGAAUUUGUCGAUGGCGACCAGCAGGUGCGUGUAGCCCCUGGGCGCCUUCUGCAAGGGACCGACGAGGUCCAGACCCCAUACAGCGAAGGGCCAGGUGAUGGGUAUCGUCUGCAGAGCCUGAGCGGGCAGGUGGGUCUGCUUCGCAUAGAAUUGGCACCCUUCGCAGGUGCGGACAAUUCUAGUGGCGUCAGCCACCGCCGUUGGCCAGUAGAAGCCUUGUCGGAAGGCAUUCCCGACAAGGGCUCGAGGCGCUGCAUGAUGGCCGCAAGCCCCCGAGUGUAUUUCUUGCAAGAGUUCCUGACCUUCGGCGAUGGAGAUGCAUCGCUGGAGGAUGCCCGAGGGGCUCCGGUGGUAGAGCUCCUCCUCAUCGCCCAGCAAGACGAACGACUUGGCGCGUCGAGCUACCCGCCGAGCCUCGGCUUGGUCGAGGGGUAGCUCUCCCUGGCGGAGAUAUCGCAGGUACGGGGCCUGCCAAUUUCGAUCAGGCGUGGCCCCGCUCUGCUUCUUCUCGACGUGCAGUGCCUCGGCCCCUGGGGCCGAGGGUACUUCGGGCCGAACCGAGGGCGCCUCGGGCUGAGCCGAGGGUGCCUCGGGCUCGGGCGAGUCGUCGACCUUGACGGAGGGUUGGUGCAGAUCCCGGGAGAAGACGUCCGGGGGGACCGUCGUUCGCCCCGAGGCUAUUUUAGCCAGCUCGUCUGCAGUCUUGUUGUAGCGCCGAGCGAUGUGGUUGAGCUCGAGCCCGAAGAACUUGUCUUCCAGGCGCCGAACCUCAUCGCAGUAGGCCUCCAUCUUUGGGUCGCGGCAGUGGGAGUUCUUCAUGACUUGGUCGAUGACGAGCUGCGAGUCACCGCGGGCGUCGAGGCGUCUGACCCCUAGCUCGAUGGCGAUCCGCAACCCGUUGACCAGAGCUUCGUACUCGGCCACAUUGUUGGACGCCGGGAAAUGGAGGCGUAGCACGUAGCGUAGGUGCUUCCCGAGGGGUGAGAUGAAGAGCAGGCCCGCGCCGGCUCCCGUCUUCAUCAGCGACCCGUCGAAAAACAUGGUCCAGAGCUCCGGUUGGAUCGGAGCCGUCGGCAGCUGGGUGUCGACCCAUUCAGCUACGAAGUCCGCCAACACCUGGGACUUGAUGGCUUUCCGAGGGGCGAACGAGAUCGUUUCGCCCAUGAUUUCCACUGCCCACUUUGCGAUCCUGCCCGAGGCCUCUCGGCACUGGAUGAUCUCCCCCAGGGGGAAGGAUGACACCACAGUUACCGGAUGAGACUCGAAGUAGUGUCGUAACUUCCGCCUUGUCAGGAUCACAGCAUACAGCAGCUUCUGAACUUGCGGGUAGCGGAUCUUGGUCUCGGACAAUACUUCGCUGACGAAGUAGACUGGCCUCUGAACGGGCAAUGCAUGCCCUUCUUCUUGCCUCUCGACUACAAUCGCGGCGCUAACCACCUGAGUGGUAGCAGCGACGUAGACCAAGAGGGCUUCUCCAUCAGCUGGGGGCACCAAGACAGGCGCCUUUGUAAGGAGCGCCUUCAGGUUCCCGAGGGCUUCCUCGGCCUCAGGGGUCCAAGCAAAACUUUCGGCCUUCCUUAAGAGGCGGUACAGAGGCAGACCUCUUUCGCCGAGGCGUGAGAUGAAGCGGCUCAGGGCCACGAGGCAUCCCAUGACCCUCUGUACGCCUUUUAAGUCCUUGAUGGGUCCCAUGCUGGUGAUAGCUGCGAUCUUCUCCGGGUUGGCUUCGAUGCCUCGCUCGGAGACGAUGAACCCCAGGAGCAUGCCCCGGGGCACCCCGAAGACACACUUCUCAGGAUUGAGCUUGACUCCUUUCGCCUUGAGACAUCGGAAUGUCACUCCAAGGUCGGAGAGGAGGUUGGAAGCCUUCCUUGUCUUGACUACGAUGUCAUCGACGUAGGCCUCGACUGUGCGACCGAUGUGUUCGCCGAACACAUGGUUCAUGCACCGCUGGUACGUCGCGCCCGCAUUCCUCAGACCGAACGGCAUGGUGACAUAGCAGUACAUGCCGAACGGCGUGAUGAAAGAAGUCGCGAGUUGGUCGGACUCUUUCAUCCGGAUCUGGUGAUACCCUGAGUAGGCAUCGAGGAAGGACAGGGUUUCGCACCCAGCAGUGGAAUCCACGAUUUGAUCGAUGCGAGGCAGAGGGUAGGGAACCUUCGGACAUGCUUUGUUGAGACCAGUGUAGUCUACACACAUCCGCCAUUUCCCCCCUUUUUUCCUCACAAGCACAGGGUUGGCAAGCCAUUCGGGAUGGAAUACCUCUUUGAUGAACCCCGCUGCCAUUAGCUUGUGGAUCUCUUCGCCUAUCGCUCUGCGCUUCUCCUCGUCGAAUCGGCGCAGAGGCUGCCUGACGGGUCGGGCUCCGGCCCGAAUAUCCAGCGAGUGCUCGGCGACAUCCCUCGGUAUGCCGGGCAUGUCCGAGGGACUCCACGCAAAGACGUCGGCGUUUGCGCGGAGAAAGUCGACGAGCACUGCUUCCUAUUUGGGGUCGAGCCCGGAACCAAUCCGGAUCUGCUUGGAGGUGUCGCCACUGGGGUCGAGUGGGACGGCCUUAACCGUCUCCGCUGGCUCGAAGUUGCCGGCAUGACGCUUCACGUCUGGCACCUCUUUGGAGAGGUUCUCCAGGUCGGCGAUGAGGGCCUCGGACUCGGCGAGGGCCUCGGCGUACUCCACGCACUCCACGUCGCAUUCGAACGCGUGUUUGUACGUGGGGUCGACGGUGAUGACCCCGUUGGGGCCCGACAUCUUGAGCUUCAGGUAGGUGUAGUUGGGGACGGCCAUGAACUUCGCGUAGCAUAGCCUUCCCAGUACCGCGUGGUAGGUUCCUCGGAACCCGACCUCCUCGAACGUCAAGGUCUCCCUUCGGAAGUUGGAGGGCGUUCCGAAGCAGACGGGGAGGUCGAGUCGUCCGAGGGGCUGGACACGCUUCCCAGGGAUGAUCCCGUGGAAGGGCGCAGCGCCUGCUCGGACGGAGGACAGAUCGACGCGCAGGAGCUUGAGGGUCUCGGCGUAGAUGAUGUUGAGGCAGCUGCCCCCAUCCAUCAGGACCUUGGUGAGCCUGACGUUGCCAAUGAUGGGGUCGACGACGAGCGGGUAUUUCCCCGGGCUCGGCACAUGGUCGGGGUGGUCAGCCUGGUCGAAGGUGAUGGGCUUGUCGGACCAGUCUAGGUAGACUAGCGCCACCACCUUCACCGAGCAGACCUCCCGGCGCUCUUGCUUGCGAUGCCGAGCCGAGGUAUUCGCCGCAUGCCCACCGUAGAUCAUGAAGCAGUCGCGGACCUCGGGGAACUCUCCUGCUUGGUAAUCUUCUUUCUUGUCGUCGUCGUGGGCCCUGCCACCCUCCGCGGGUGGCCCGGCCCUGUGGAAGUGGCGCCGAAGCAUGACACACUCCUCGAGAGUGUGCUUAACGGGCCCCUGAUGGUAGGGGCACGGCUCCUUGAGCAUCUUGUCGAAGAGGUUACCACCUCCGGGGGGCUUCCGAGGGUUCUUGUACUCGGCGGCGGCGACAAGGUCCGCGUCAGCGGCGUCGCGUUUCGAUUGCGACUUCUUCUUGCCCUUCUUCUUGGCGUCGCGCGGAGUAGACGCCUCGAGAGCCUCUUCCGAUGGGCGGCCCUGGGGCUGCUUGUCCUUUCGGAAGAUAGCCUCAACCGCCUCCUGGCCAGAGGCGAACUUGGUGGCGAUGUCCAUCAGCUCGCUCGCCCUGGUGGGGGUCUUGCGACCCAACUUACUCACCAGGUCGCGGCAGGUGGUGCCGGCAAGGAACGCGCCGAUGACAUCCGAGUCGGUGAUGUUGGGCAGCUCGGUGCGCUGCUUCGAGAAUCGCCGGAUGUAGUCCCGGAGCGACUCUCCCGGCUGUUGCCGGCAGCUCCGAAGGUCCCAGGAAUUUCCGGGGCGCACGUACGUGCCCUGGAAAUUGCCGGCGAAGGCUUGGAUCAAGUCGUCCCAGUUGGAGAUCUGCCCCGGAGGCAGGUGCUCCAACCAGGCGCGAGCAGUGUCGGAGAGGAACAGGGGAAGGUUGCGGAUGAUGAGGUUGUCGUCGUCCGUUCCACCCAGUUGGCAGGCUAGGCGGUAGUCCGCGAGCCACAGUUCCGGCCUCGUUUCCCCCGAGUACUUUGUGAUAGUAGUCGGGGGUCGGAACCGGGUCGGGAACGGCGCCCGUCGGAUGGCCCGACUGAAGGCCUGCGGACCGGGUGGCUCGGGCGAGGGACUCCGAUCCUCCCCGCUGUCGUAGCGCCCCCCACGCCUGGGGUGGUAGCCUCGGCGCACCCUUUCGUCGAGGUGGGCCCGACGGUCACGUCGAUGGUGCUCAUUGCCUAGGUGGCCCGGGGCCGCAGGCGCGGUGUUGCGUGUGCGCCCGGUGUAGACCGAGGCUUCCCGCAUAAAUCGGGAAGUCGCGGCGUGAGGCUCCGAGGGGUAUCCCUGCCUUCGGGAGGCAGUGCUCUCGGCCCGUCGGGCCGCAGCGCCUUCCAGGAGAUUCUUGAGCUCUCCCUGGAUUCGCCGACCCUCGGUGGUUGAUGGCUCCGGAAUCGUGCGGAGGAGCAUCGCUGCGGCUGCCAGGUUCUGACCAACCCCGCUGGAUGCGGGCGGCGGCCUGAGCCUGACAUCGUUGGCGACGCGGUGCUGGAGACCUUGGGGCAGGUGACAUAUUUCUCCGGCCGGGGGUUGGCCCGCCCAUACCUGCCCGACGUCCCGGCGGAUCGUCUCAAGCGCCCCUGUUCCCUCGUCGAGCCUGGCCUGCGCCCCGAGGACUUGCUCGAGCUGUGGGUCGUGUCCCCCCGCCGGAACGGGGACCACAGCUAGCUCCAGCGGGAUGUCGGCGUGAGGCGCCGGCCUAGGAAAAUCACCGUCCUCCGGCAUGCCAAGAUGGUUGCCUUCGGAGGGAUCCCCUAGCUCGACGUGGAAACAUUCGCGGCUUGGGCCGUAGUCCUCGUCGUCAAGGCUGCGGCUUCCGUCGGAACAGUCGGAGAGGCAGUAGUCACAUGCGGUCAUGGAGUCCCGCAUGGCACUGGGGUUGCCAAAUCCAGAGAAAUCCCAACAGAUGCUGGGAUCGUCAUCUUCCUCGGACCCAGAGGGCCCGUAGGUCGAGACGUCCGUCAAUCGGUCCCAAGGCGACCGCAUACGAAACCCCAGUGGGGUUGCACUCGCCUCAAUGAGAGCGCCCGCCAAAGCGAGGUCGCUUGGCGGGUUGAGGCCGAGUCGAAAUGACGUAAGAUGGGAGUUAGUCAGUACCUUUUGGUCGACGAGGAGCGACGUAGUCACAUCGGGGACUGGUUGCACCGUCGUCUCAGGUACGAGGGCGACGUCCUGCAAGCUCUCCGCGAGUGCGCCGGCGUCGUCUUCUUGCUCGGGAUCAGCGUGUCGCGGGGGGACGGCGCCUGCCUUCGUCUCGAACGCGAGGUCGACGCCCGGCGUGCCCUCCGUUGGGGCGCUGGGAACGUCGAUUCGCUCGACGGCCGACGAAGCGCGGCCUCCCGCUUGGCCUUGGUUGCCCCGCCUCCUUCCCCGUUGACGGGGGAGAGGACGGGGCGAGCUCGAACGUUGUUCUUCCACCACGCGGGGAAGAUGUCGUCGGUUCCGCCGCCGGUGGGCGGGUCGUCGGCCGCCAUUGUCGUUGUCGCGCGGCGGUGGAAGGAGUAUCAUGUCGUAGCUGCCGUCGAAUGGCAUGAACUCGAGACUCCCGAAACGGAGCACCGUCCCGGGACGGAGAGGUUGCUGGAGACUGCCCAUCUGGAGCUUGACGGGAAGCUGUUCGUCAGCACGCAGCAGGCCCCUACCUGGCGCGCCAACUGUCGGCGUUUCGAGACCAGGGGGUCCCCGAGCCGACGAGUGAGUGUGCCGCGUGCCCCAGCCCAGAUGGGUCGAGCGCGUGGGCGAGCGCGAAGGGGGGAGAAGCGAGGUGGCCGGAGACGGGCGUGAGAGAGGUGGAGAUCCCGCGGCCUUCGUGUUCGUCUCGCGCCAGGUCGAGUGCGCUUGCAGUAGGGGGGUUACAAGCGUCCACGCGGGUGAGGGAAGCGAGCGGCCCUAAGAGAGCGCCUGUCCCGUCCUCGUCCCGCGCGGCCAACCUUCUCUAAGAAGGCCCUGGUCCUUCCUUUUAUAGGCGUAAGGAGAGGAUCCAGGUGUACAAUGGGGGUGUAGCAGAGUGCUACGUGUCUAGCGGAGGGAGAGCUAGCGCCCUAAGUACAUGCCAAUGUGGCAGCCGGAGAGAUCUUGGCACCCUGCUGGCGUGAUGUCGUGGCUGUUGGAGGAGCAACGGAGCCUGGAGGAGGGACAGCUGUCGGAGCGGUCGAGUCCUUGCUGACGUCCACCUGCUUCCGUAAGAGAGCUGAGAGCCGCCGUCGUCACAGAGCUUGUGGGGCGCCAUCAUUCCCCAUCUGGCGGAGCUAGCCAGAUGGGACACCGGUCUUGUUCUCCAUGACCCGAGUCGGCUCGGGGUAGGAUGAUGAUGGCGCUUCCUGUUGACGUGGCGGGCCUGUGCCCUAGGUCGGGCGACGUGGGGGCUCCUCCGAAGCCGGGGUCGAGUCUGUCUUCCGUGGCCGAGGCCGAGCCCGAGCCCCCGGGUCGGGCGAGGCGGAGAUCGUUCGGCAGAGGCCCGGGCGGAGUCCGAGCCCUGGGGUCGGGCGAAGCGGAGUUCGUCGUCUUCCGGGUCUUAGCCCGAGUACGAGCCCUGGGGUCGGGCGGAGCGGAGUUCGCCGUCUUCCGGGUCUUAGCCCGAGUUCGAGCCCUGGGGUCGGGCGGAGCGGAGUUCGUCAUCUUCCGGGUCUAAGCCCGAGUCCGAGCCCUGGGGUCGGGCGGAGCGGAGUUCGCCGUCUUCCGGGUCUUAGCCCGAGUCCGAGCCCUGGGGUCGGGCGGAGCGGAGUUCGCCGUCUUCCGGGUCUUAGCCCGAGUCCGAGCCCUGGGGUCGGGCGGAGCGGAGUUCGCCGUCUUCCGGGUCUUAGCCCGAGUCCGAGCCCUGGGGUCGGGCGGAGCGGAGUUCGCCGUCUUCCGGGGCUGAGCCCGAGUCCGAGCCCUGGGUCGGGCGGAGCGGAGCUUCCUAUGGCGCCUUUGGCAAGGCCUGACUGCCUGUCAGACUCACUCUGUUGAGUGGCACUGUAGUCGGAGUGGCACAGGCGGCACUGUCCUUCUGUCAGACCGGUCAGUGGUGCGGCGGAGUGACGGCGGUCACUUCGGCUCUGCCGGGGGGCGCGCGUCAGGAUAAAGGUGUCAGGCCACCUUUGCGUUAAAUGCUCCUGCAACUCGGUCAGUCGGUGCGGCGAUUUGGUCAGGGUUGCUUCUCAGCGAAGCCAAGGCCUCGGGCGAGCCGGAGAUGCGUCCGCCGUUAAAAGGGGGGCCUCGGGCGAGACGGAAGUCCCUCGAGGUCGGCUGCCCUUGGCCGAGGCUAGGCUCGGGCGAAGCGUGAUCGAGUCACUCGUAUGGACUGAUCCCUGACUUAAUCGCACCCAUCAGGCCUCUGCAGCUUUAUGCUGAUGGGGGUUACCAGCUGAGAAUUAGGCGUCUUGAGGGUACCCCUAAUUAUGGUCCCCGACAAAUCCAAAGCUUAUUUCCACAGCAAUGGACAAGCAGGAGGAGAAAGAGAUGGCAUCAAUGCUUCUACCGUAUCUUUAUGGUGAGCUGGUCCAUUCAACUCAAAUCAAGCUAGGAUUUGUACUGCUAUUAGAGGUUGUUGAGGACCUGGCUAUUGACAUACCUGAUGUGAUUGAACUUUUCAUGGCACGCACAAUUUUGGAUGACAUUCUGACACUGGCUUUCCUCAGCAAGGCAAAAGUGAGUCUCUCAGGAUCUUCAAUGGUUAUGCACCUUGUACAAAUUACAGAGAAGAACUAUUUUUCAGCCCACGUCAUAGUAGAAGAGGUCACGAGGCGGAUUGCUGAUAUUCUUAAGGAAUACAUCAGAAAUGGUGAUACAACUGAGGCUUGUAGGUGCAUUCGAGAAUUGGUCGUGCCAUUUUUCCAUCAUGAGGUGUUGCAGAGAGCUUUUACUCUUGGAAGGGAAAGUCCAGCCGCUGUAGCUCUUAUUGUCAAACUUCUGAAGGAAGCAUCUAAAGAAUAUUUAGUAAGCUCUAAUCAGAUGAGGAAAGGGUUCCAUUGUGUUGCUACGAGUUUAGAUGAUCUCAUUCUGGACAUACCAUCUGCAAAAUCUAAAUUUCAGCUGUUGCCUUUUAAUGGGUUCAUUUUGUGGGAGUAUCCAAUGAAGUGUGCUGAUUGGCAACCAUCGGCACCACCCAUGUCACUAGAGAUUUUGCUGGCGAGUGGUACGAGUCGUCCUAUUCCCUGGCCAAAUUUUGUUUUGAGUUGUAUAAGUUGUGCAAACUUAUAUUUCAGUUGGGCACUAAAACCACCAUGGCUGCUUCAACCGCGAUAGGACAUCAGUGCUGUACUGCGACCAGUGCCAUGGCCCUCCUUCAGAGCAUUCCAUGACGCUAUUGCAAGGUGGUGGGAUUUCAGUUUGCUCAUGCUACCACCAUGGCUUCCUUCAACUUGGUGCUAUUCUGGUUGCUUUUGUAACAUGAGGAUCCCUGAGAGGCAAUCUGUAAGCUAUAUGGUGCUCGCGCUCUACAUAUUCGGAUACCAUACCAAUCUCCAGGUCAUUGUCCCUGUUCUCAUAAUUCGCAUAACUGCUUUGUACAAGUUAACUGGAGUUUGCUUGCUGUUUAGUUAUACCUGGAUAGGCCAACAGACAAACCACCUGAUCAGUGUAGAUGAACUUCUUGGUAGCUACUUAUUUAGUUUCAAGGAGGCUGUUCUGAAUUGGGUUUGUGGCAUCUGGAUAUACGUUUUCUGUGCACAAUUCGACUUGUUCAGUUGGUGUUCUGAAAAUUCAGACUUGAGCAGCUUAAGGCUCUCAAUUGCACUCCUGACAACGCAAUGGUGCUCCCAAUACAUAUCUUCUCUAUAUUGCAAACGUCAUUCUGGCUGGAGUUGAAAGAGAAACAUGGACUUGCUCCUUUUGCCGGUCAAAAUGUGAGGAAACAUGGAAUUUUCAAUAUUGCACUGGAAGGAAGGAUAAGGCCUUGCACCACAGUAUCACAACUGCUAUGGAACCUGGUGGUUUACAGCUCUUGCAUCGACUUGGGGGCAAGUCGAAUGUUAAGGAGGGGAGAAUGUUAGUACUGAUGAGAUGAAGGAAAUGUUACAAAGGAAUUGCCCAGCGUCGCGAGCCUAGAGGAAGGAAGCACCGUGCUAAUGUCCGACUCGUGGGCCCGGAGUGGGCGUGACUUGGUCACUGUCUGGCGUGUGUGCGUCUGUAUCAUGGGGCAGUGUCCCCGCCUCGUGGGUCUGCUUGUAAGCGUUUAAGUAGUGGUCGUCUGCCUUGGGCAGGGGGAACAUUUUACUGAAUAUUGAAUAGAACUGCUUCCUGUUGCCUUCAUUCUCCAUUUCUCCUCUCUCUGCUACCUUUGUCUUCCUCUCAUUCUUCCCUAGAUCUCUCCUCUUCUCCAUUCCCUAGCAGUAGCUAACAUUCAAGCAUCGUAGAUCCGUAGUGCGUCGAGGUCGGGACCCCCUGAGUGCAUAAUCAUCGGUAAGACCUACCCCAUCAAGUUCUCCACUCUCCGCUCUCUAAUCCAUGCAUGUCCGUGGUAGAUUUGGACCUCUAGAGCGCCCAUUCGACUCCCUCCGGUCAUGGCGCCACCGUUGGCGGGGCGGCGCCGCCGCUUGGUGCCUGUCAGGGGGAAAGAUGCGCCGGUAGCCGUUGACCAAAUAACGACCGGUCACGAUUAGAUGAUGGAGGGACCAGUUCUGGUAUUAAAUUCGAUUCGUUGAUUUGGGAACUGAGGGCCCAUGUACAGACUGUGAAUCUAGGAUCCAAGGAUCUGUAUUGCGUACCUUUUGGUUUAAAGGUUACUGUGUGGACCAGCGGCUACAAUGUUAGAUAAGGGACUCUUAGUCUCUUAAUGAAAAUGACCAAGGCAAAGGCGUAUCAGCGUCUCACGGCCGCCGGAUCAGAACCCUAUGGCUCUGUUUAGAAUUACCCUUUAAAGCUAGUUUGGAACCUCAAAUCCUCUUUGAAAUUAGAGGAGAUUGGGGUGAAAAUUAACUAAUUUGUUCUCUAGUUUCCUUUAAUCCCAAAGAAAAUUUGAGUUUCCAAACUAGCUUUAAAGGGUAAUUCUAAACAGAGCCAUAGGGUUCUGAUCCGGCGGCCGUGAGACGCUGAUACGCCUUUGCCUUGGUCAUUUUCAUUAAGAGACUAAGAGUCCCUUAUCUAACAUUGUAGCCGCUGGUCCACACAUGUGUAAAGAUUAUCACGAAUCAAUCCUUUUAUUUAUAAAUCAGAUCCCAAGCUUCUAUAAAAUUGUAGCCUCCAUCCAUUUUUAGUUAACAAGAAUAAAUAAAUCCAUGAAAUUUCAUAAAAGCUUUUAAUAAAUGUUAUCAAGUGUAAAAUAAAUAUAAAAAUACCUUAAAAACUUGGAAAAUUCAUAACUUCUUCGUUUUAACUCUGAUUUUAGCGGUUCUCGAACCUACAUUUUUGUCUCAACCUAUAUAUUAAUCUUAUGUAAUUUGUUCCUGUGUUUGGCAUGAUGUUAAUUUUUCUCCUAUACUGUUUGUUUGUAUUGAUGCAAGUAGACGAGUAAGUGACCGGGGAACCUGAAGCACCGCAAAGUUGAAGAUUCUAAGCAGGAGCUCACAGAAGGCAAGUUGUGCCCUUGAUCACUUUCUUUACCUAAUAGUGUUCUUGAUAAUCACCAUGACAUGCUUAGGUUAACUUGAUGGGACCUAAUAGGUUACCUAGUUUUGUUCACCCUACACACCUUGCUUACAAAUGAACUAUUGGAUAGUCUUGCUAUUGCUCUAUGCGGUUUUGGGUGUUAUGCUAUAUAUGAAUCAUGAUCAUGCUCAUUACUGUCAAUGGAUUAUUUAUUGUUCAUGAUAAGAUUAUUGUGUUUAAUUGGAACAUGGAGCCACCACCCGAGAAAACAAGUGCUACCCAAGGGUGGAAUGGGAUGCCCUUGGUUGAUUAAUUAGAAAAGCUAGUAUGAGUUAAUCCUUUCCCGAAAGGGGCAAGUGGGGUGGAGGAGUUGCAGGUAUAGGGAGGUCAUCGGGUCGGACUGUAUGUAUAGCGUUUCGGACGAGGGAUUCCUAUAUCGCCUUCGGCCCAAAAACCGUAGCAGGUUCUCUCAUCUAGUGGAGCUUUGGAAAGGCCUUGUAGUGCUACCUUGCCUCGCCUCCUUAGUAGAGAUAAAUGGGAUUCGAUAGCCCUUGGCAAAUGGGUAAACACGACUUGGGGGUAAAGAUGCACAACCUUUAUAGAGUGUAAAACUGGUAUAUCAGCCGUGCUCACGGUCAAGAGCAACUCGGACCCUCACAUGAGUAACUUAUGGAAUUAAACUUAAUAUAUCAUUUGCAUUGAAUUGUGGGAUAUAUUAUUUAUUGUGAUCUCUUAAUUAGUUGGGUAUACACUUAUACUUAGUAAAUGCUAAUAAAAUUUUGGGCAACUUAUUAAAAGCAGUGCUCAGCCUUAACUAUUAUUUGUUAAUAAGCCUUACACUACACAUGAGCCCCCACCGUGUGCUCAUGCACAUUAUUCCCACACUUGUUGAGCGAUGACCGUAUGAGAGCUCACCCUUGUUAUAGUCACACCAGGAGAAGAGAAGGCACCGCCGGAGGAGGACUACUACGAUGUGUUCGAUGAGAUCUAGGUGUCGUCUCCUAGUCAACUAUGUCGUCGUGAAGAUAGUUAUCUAAAUUUGAGUUAUAUUAUUA
rnacentral:lncRNA from 1 species